GGUGCUGUAGCUCAGUGUAGAGCAUUUGCCUUGCUAGCAAGUGUGAGGCCCUGGGUUUGAUUCUCAACACCACAU
rnacentral:tRNA from 1 species